UACGUAGGGGUGCGAGCGUUGUCCGGAAUUACUGGGCGUAAAGAGCUCGUAGGUGGUUUGUCGCGUUGUCCGUGAAAUUCCCUGGCUUAACUGGGGGGCGUGCGGGGCGAUACGGGGCAGACUGGAGUACUGCAGGGGGAGACUGGAAUUCCCUGGUGUAGCGGUGGAAUGCGCAGAUAUCAGGGAGGAACACCGGUGGC
rnacentral:rRNA from 1 species